GAAGCUUUUGUGACGGUAGGUUGAGAAGAAGCACCGGCUAACUACGUGCCAGCAGCCGCGGUAAUACGUAGGGUGCGAGCGUUGUCCGGAAUUACUGGGCGUAAAGAGCUCGUAGGUGGUUUGUCGCGUCGUGUGUGAAAUUCCGGGGCUUAACUUCGGGGUUGCAUACGAUACGGGCAUAACUUGAGUGCUGUAGGGGAGACUGGAAUUCCUGGUGUAGCGGUGAAAUGCGCAGAUAUCAGGAGGAACACCGAUGGCGAAGGCAGGUCUCUGGGCAGUAACUGACGCUGAGGAGCGAAAGCAUGGGGAGCGAACAGGAUUAGAUACCCUGGUAGUCCAUGCCGUAAACGGUGGGCGCUAGGUGUGAGGCCCUUCCACGGGUUUCGUGCCGUAGCUAACGCAUUAAGCGCCCCGCCUGGGGAGUACGGCCGCAAGGCUAAAACUCAAAGGAAUUGACGGGGGCCCGCACAAGCGGCGGAGCAUGUGGAUUAAUUCGAUGCAACGCGAAGAACCUUACCUGGGCUUGACAUACACCGAAUCGCUGCAGAGAUGUGGUUUCCCUUGUGGUUGGUGUACAGGUGGUGCAUGGUUGUCGUCAGCUCGUGUCGUGAGAUGUUGGGUUAAGUCCCGCAACGAGCGCAACCCUUGUCUUAUGUUGCCAGCAUGUUGUGGUGGGCACUUAUGAGAGACUGCCGGGGUUAACUCGGAGGAAGGUGGGGAUGACGUCAAAUCAUCAUGCCCCUUAUGUCCAGGGCUUCACACAUGCUACAAUGGUCGGUACAACGCGCAGCUACCUCGUGAGGGGACGCGAAUCGCUGAAAGCCGGUCGUAGUUCGGAUUGGGGUCUGCAACUCGACCCCAUGAAGUCGGAGUCGCUAGUAAUCGCAGAUCAGCAACGCUGCGGUGAAUACGUUCCCGGGCCUUGUACACACCGCCCGUCACGUCAUGAAAGUUGGUAACACCCGAAGCCAGUGGCCUGUCAAAAGGAGCUGUCGAAGGUGGGAUCGGCGAUUGGGACGAAGUCGUAACAAGGUAGCCGU
rnacentral:rRNA from 1 species